GAGCAAAACUGUGGACUAGUAAUUUUUUAUCCUUAUUAUUUUGGGCCAUCCAAACCUCCUCAUACUUCUCCGUUCCCCUCGUACUCUCCUCUUCUCUGUUGCCGAAUGGAAGUCUCUCGGUGGAGCCAAUGCUACGCCGUCUUCUCCCAGAUGAAGAAGAACACCUCUGCUCCCUUGCUAGGUUAGCGUGUCCUUUUGCCGCCUCUUUCUCUAAUUUCUUCUUGCCUUUCCCGCUCGAAAGUCGUUCUUUUAAGGGAUUUGUUACCUUCCGCAGCCAGGAAAUCCAAAUACUCUGGCCAAUCAAUUAGAGCAAUUCCGAUUCGAAUAUUGACGGUGGGCAAGAGGAGGUCUCCAGGGGUGCAGCUUUUGGUCGAGGAGUACAUGGAGAAGCUCAGGUACUAUUGCAGCGUCGAGGAUGUCCAUGUAAAGUCUAAUCCAAAAAGUAGCAGGUAUUCUAUGCUAUUAUCUUCUUCUUCAUGGAGACUAAAGAUAUUAGGCCUUUUCUUAAAAAUUAAUGUAAAUAUGCAAGGCUUGUGCAAAUUAACGUCUUGGAGGAGUGUCGAUGCCUCAAAAUUUAUGUAUACCUAAAUUUUAGAAAAUUGGAAAGGUGUCAACUUUUUUGUGAUUUUUCUUUUGGAAGUCUUAUUUAUGUAUAAUUACCAAACUUCUAAACUUACUACUGUAAGUUUAUGCUUCUGAUACUCUAAGCAGCAAUGUGAAAGCUCAGAUUGAUGCAGAAGACAUGGUCAUUAUGCAACAGAUCAGACAUGAAGAUUGGGUAUGGUCUUAAUUACAUUGUCUAUUGUCCUUCACUGUGCCAUAACUUCUAUUGGAGGAAACCUCGAGUGGAAGAGUUAGAGGGUUGUUGUGUUGGAUGAGCAUGGACUAGAUGUCGGAUCUGUGCAGUUAGCUGAUUUAUUGGGUGAUGCAGGAAGAACAGUAUGUACUUUACCUUUACCUUAGAUGAUCCUUGAAAAUGCAGCAGAGUAUCUGAAAUUUUUUCAACUUUACAAAAGGAUUAUGUUUCAUGAAAAUGAGUGGGCAUGACAGUAGUCUAGCAUCCUUUUUCAAGUAUCUUCAGUUCAUUUUCAGUCCAGAGGUAACAUUGACUACCAAUAUACUUAGACAUACUUCACAGAGACACUCUCAUUUGUUAGACACGGCUUGUAAGAACCAGAUUUAAUCAAAAUAAUCUCUAUAUUAGACCCUCUUUCAUCAUUAUUGUAGUUCAAGACUUAGUUAACUCAGUUGUAAUUGGCUUUAGUGGACUAGUUGCUUGAAUUUCAGUCAUAUAGUUUUAAAUUAAUGGAAAUGUCCAUAUGUUCAAGUCGUAUGUUGUUUUUUUCUGAUAUGUGCAAUAUCAAAUGGUUUUAGACUUUUAGUAAGUUGAUCCCUCUGAAUGAACCUCAAAUAUGAUACACUUAGUUGAACCUUUAUUUGUAGAAGAUUUAUAUGAAGAAACAGUAUAGGGUUGAAUGUACAACAAUGCACAUCUGAACUUUUCCCAAUCCUGUGGAGUUACGUAUUCAAGUUUGUAAUGCUUUCUGCAGAGAAGAGACAAUAUGGAAUUACAUAUUCAAGUCAUUUCCUUUUUUUUUUCCAAAGAAACAGUUUCUUCUUGUAUUUUC